rnacentral:pre_miRNA from 1 species
UCUAGAACUCGAGAUAUGGGCUGAACACUAAACAGUGUCUGGGCUGCAGGACAGAUUCUGACUUCUCUGUUAUUGCUAUAAUUGGAACUUGAAACCGGUUCUUUUGAAUCUUGGACUCUUUAUAAACGUUUUAGGCCUAUGUCUUAGAUUUCCAUC